GACGAACGCUGGCGGCGUGCUUAACACAUGCAAGUCGAACGGAAAGGCCCUGCUUUUGUGGGGUGCUCGAGUGGCGAACGGGUGAGUAACACGUGAGUAACCUGCCCUUGACUUUGGGAUAACUUCAGGAAACUGGGGCUAAUACCGGAUAGGAGCUCCUGCUGCAUGGUGGGGGUUGGAAAGUUUCGGCGGUUGGGGAUGGACUCGCGGCUUAUCAGCUUGUUGGUGGGGUAGUGGCUUACCAAGGCUUUGACGGGUAGCCGGCCUGAGAGGGUGACCGGCCCCAUUGGACCUGAGAUACGGCCAAGACUCCUACGGGAGGCAGCAGUGGGGAAUAUUGCACAAUGGGCGGAAGCCUGAUGCAGCACCGCCGCGUGCGGGAUGACGGCCUUCGGGUUGUAAACCGCUUUCGCCUGUGACGAAGCGUGAGUGACGGUAAUGGGUAAAGAAGCACCGGCUAACUACGUG
rnacentral:rRNA from 1 species